rnacentral:rRNA from 1 species
CCUACGGGAGGCAGCAGUGAGGAAUAUUGGUCAAUGGACGAGAGUCUGAACCAGCCAAGUAGCGUGAAGGAUGACUGCCCUAUGGGUUGUAAACUUCUUUUAUAUGGGAAUAAAAUGUUCCACGUGUGGGAUUUUGUAUGUACCAUAUGAAUAAGGAUCGGCUAACUCCGUGCCAGCAGCCGCGGUAAUACGGAGGAUCCGAGCGUUAUCCGGAUUUAUUGGGGGUAAAGGGAGCGUAGGUGGAUUGUUAAGUCAGUUGUGAAAGUUUGCGGCUUAACCGUAAAAUUGCAGUUGAAACUGGCAGUCUUGAGUACAGUAGAGGUGGGCGGAAUUCGUGGUGUAGCGGUGAAAUGCUUAGAGAUCACGAAGAAUUCCGAUUGCGAAGGCAGUUCACUGGACUGCAACUGACACUGAUGCUCGAAAGUGUGGGUAUCAAACAGGAUUAGAUACCCGGGUAGUC